GACGAACGCUGGCGGCGUGCUUAACACAUGCAAGUCGAACGGAAAGGCCCUGCUUGCAGGGUACUCGCGUGGCGAACGGGUGAGUAACACGUGGGUGUUCUGCCCUGCACUUCGGGAUAAGCUUGGGAAACUGGGUCUAAUACCGGAUAGGAACCAUCUUUAGUGUGGUGGUUGGAAAGUUUUUUCGGUGUAGGAUGAGCUCGCGGCCUAUCAGCUUGUUGGUGGGGUAAUGGCCUACCAAGGCGGCGACGGGUAGCCGGCCUGAGAGGGUGUACGGCCACAUUGGGGGUGAGAUACGGCCCAGACUCCUACGGGAGGCAGAAGUGGGGAAUAUUGCACAAUGGGCGCAAGCCUGAGGCAGCGACGCCGCGUGGGGGAUGAAGGCCUUCGGGUUGUAAACUCCUUUCGCUAGGGACGAAGCUUUGUUGUGACGGUACCUAGAGAAGAAGCACCGGCUAACUACGUG
rnacentral:rRNA from 1 species